rnacentral:tRNA from 1 species
UGGCUUAGUUGGUAGAGCAUGCCAUUUGAAAUGCCAGGGUUGUGGGUUUGAUUCCCAC